UACGUAGGGGGCAAGCGUUGUCCGGAAUUAUUGGGCGUAAAGCGCGCGCAGGCGGUUGAUUAAGUCUGGUGUAUAAACCUGAGGCUCAACCUCGGGACGCAUUGGAAACUGGUCAACUGGAGUGUAGGAGAGGAAAGUGGAAUUCCACGUGUAGCGGUGAAAUGCGUAGAUAUGUGGAGGAACACCAGUGGCGAAGGCGACUUUCUGGCCUAUAACUGACGCUGAGGCGCGAAAGCGUGGGGAGCGAACAGG
rnacentral:rRNA from 1 species